GAGUUUGAUCCUGGCUCAGAGUGAACGCUGGCGGCAGGCCUAACACAUGCAAGUCAAACGGCAGCACAGAGGAGCUUGCUCCUUGGGUGGCGAGUGGCGGACGGGUGAGGAAUGCAUCGGAAUCUGCCUAUUUGUGGGGGAUAACGUAGGGAAACUUACGCUAAUACCGCAUACGUCCUACGGGAGAAAGUGGGGGACCUUCGGGCCUCACGCAGAUAGAUGAGCCGAUGCCGGAUUAGCUAGUUGGCGGGGUAAAGGCCCACCAAGGCGACGAUCCGUAGCUGGUCUGAGAGGAUGAUCAGCCACACUGGAACUGAGACACGGUCCAGACUCCUACGGGAGGCAGCAGUGGGGAAUAUUGGACAAUGGGCGCAAGCCUGAUCCAGCCAUGCCGCGUGUGUGAAGAAGGCC
rnacentral:rRNA from 1 species